rnacentral:misc_RNA from 1 species
ACAAAGGUUUUGUUGGUGUUGAAUUUGACUGGAGAAGUGGAGUACUUACCUGAUGAAUUGGGAGAUUUGGUUCAUCUGAGGUAUUUAGGCUUGAGUAGGUCACUAAUAAAGAAGCUUCCAAGGACUAUCGGUAAUCUUCAAAACCUACAAACGUUGAAUGCAGAUAAUUGUUCAAAGCUAUUUGAACUACCUAUAGAAGUUCUAAAUAUUAAACAGCUGAGGCACCUUUUAUUGAGCCAUAAUUACCAGUAUGAUGGUGG